UCAAAGGAAUUGACGGGGCCCGCACAAGCGGUGGAGCAUGUGGUUUAAUUCGAAGCCAACGCGAAGAACCUUACCAGGUCUUGACAUCCCCUGACAACCCGAGAGAUCGGGCGUUCCCCCUUCGGGGGGACAGGGUGACAGGUGGUGCAUGGUUGUCGUCAGCUCGUGUCGUGAGAUGUUGGGUUAAGUCCCGCAACGAGCGCAACCCCUAUUGUUAGUUGCCAUCAUUCAGUUGGGCACUCUAGCGAGACUGCCGGUAAUAAACCGGAGGAAGUGGGGAUGACGUCAAAUCAUCAUGCCCCUUAUGACCUGGGCUACACACGUGCUACAAUGGUUGGUACAACGAGUUGCGAGUCGGUGACGGCGAGCUAAUCUCUUAAAGCCAAUCUCAGUUCGGAUUGUAGGCUGCAACUCGCCUACAUGAAGUCGGAAUCGCUAGUAAUCGCGGAUCAGCACGCCGCGGUGAAUACGUUCCCGGGCCUU
rnacentral:rRNA from 1 species